rnacentral:rRNA from 1 species
GGGUUGUGAGGUUAAGCGACUAAGCGUACACGGUGGAUGCCCUGGCAGUCAGAGGCGAUGAAGGACGUGCUAAUCUGCGAUAAGCGUCGGUAAGGUGAUAUGAACCGUUAUAACCGGCGAUUUCCGAAUGGGGAAACCCAGUGUGAUUCGUCACACUAUCGUUAACUGAAUACAUAGGUUAACGAAGCGAACCGGGGGAACUGAAACAUCUAAGUACCCCGAGGAAAAGAAAUCA